rnacentral:lncRNA from 1 species
ACCGGUACUCGACAACCAGUACCGGUACGCAGCCUAACUCUCCCAAACCCGAGAGCAGACUUUCUCUUCUUCGCUGCCAGGUACCGGUACCAAAUCCCAGUAACAGUAUGCAAUGCUCAGACUGCAGUUUUAGCAGUGUUUAAGCUCUAUUUCGCGCCGAUCAAUACUAAAACCAGCCAAACACUUUCAGAACUCAGUUUUAAGCUUUCGGACAUUAUCGGAACAACAUUCGGACUAUUUCCAAUCAUCCCUCUUGCCACUAUUUCUGAAUUCGAUUGUGGCGGGUACGUGGUCAAGUUUCGAAGACGAAAUUUUCUUUAAGGAGGGGAUAAUGUAAGGACUGAGAUUUUAACUGUGUAGCAAAACUCUGUGUUGGCGAUGUUUUUGUGUGUAAUUUAAUUACAUAAA